rnacentral:lncRNA from 1 species
GCCGGUUACGGCGGCGAUCGUCGGCAUAGGGAGAGAGAUGAGAUCGGCGACCAAGGAUCGGAGUUUGGCGGCCAUGAGAGCGCGGAGAGGAGGAUCCGAUGCGGCUAAGGCGAGAUCGUAGCCGUUGGAGAAGAAUUUUCCAUCGGAGGUUGUGAUGAGGACCGAUUGUGAAGACGAUGGGUCGGAACGGAUUUGUGUGAUGGCGGAGCGGAGGUUGUCGAGUAAGGUAGGGUUGAGACGGUGUUCGCCGUCGCCGGUGAGCUUCAGUAAGAAAAGUCGACCACGCUUCUCCAAUGUACACAUCUCUCUGUCUGUGACAGUGACGAUAGUACUUAGUGGCAGAUUAGCAAUUAUGCGUAUUAGAUUAAUAUACCGAGAACUAUAUCUCGAUGUUCGAGCUUGAGGGUAUUUAAUAUAAAAUGUUAAUUUGCUCUAUCUUUUUGAUACGGAAAUAAUUAGAUGAAUAUCCUAAAAUGCUAUCAAAUCAAACUUUUAUUUCUAAAUCUACUAUAUAAUGUCUAAAAUUUCUACGGUUAAAAUGUAAAAUUCCAGGUUAUUGCAUAUACAACGCGUUGUAAAAUGCUUUGACAGAUAAAAGAAAAACAAUAUGAUUGCAUGUUACGGUCCACUGACAUGCAAGUAAAAUGACCAUAAAAGCUUGUUGAAUAAAACAGUAAUGCUGAAAUCAACAGAAUGUAAUCAAGAAACUUGUCAUGAUAGGUUUCCUCAUAUGAUUGGCGGUUUUGCAAAAGAGAUGAAGAAGAUGACAACUUAGAAAAUAAAGUUAGGUAUUUAGAACCGAAGGCUCUAAUACCAUAUAUAAUAGGUUACAUAAUCUUAUUAUGAGAAGAUAUUACGAUACAUGUACGAGUACGAUGAAGGUAUUAGGGAAUAACUACUAACUAGGUGAUUACACGCGUACAUGUGCAGGAUGAAAUGUAUAUACUAGUAAUUAUUGAAUACUGACUUUGAUCGUUCAACCAUAGUUAUAUCGUGUCAUAAGCCCACCAAUGUAUAGACUAUAGAGUCAUGGAAUUUUGAUUUAAAGUUGCGAGUGAUGGCAAAAAAAAGAGUUGCCAAGUCUCGGGUCAGGUUUGUUGAUGUUUUGUUUUACGUAAAGCCAUUUUAAUUUACGUUGGGCUUACAUAACAAAGCAAUACUCAGUCUUUUCUCUACUGACAAAUACUACUAACAGAAAAGGAACAUCGAAAGUACUGACAAAAAGAGAAAAUGAGAUUAAGUUAUCGACUGAGUUAUUUCGAUUACGUCUAAUGUAAUUUCAAUUUUUAGACUUUGAAUCUUUCUCUUUUCAGUUUACUAUCCGUUUUACUCACAUUUUUUAUAUGUUUUAAUUUUUUGUGUACGUUCUUAAAACACAUGAGCUUCAAUUUGUUCUCCAAGUGUAAUAGUUUUUUUUUUUUUUAAAUUAUAUUAUAAAAAGACCCGCUUUACCGGGAAAUAGUUACGGUUACAAGUUCGAUUCAAACAAAAAUACCCAAGUCUACGUAUUACAAAAACUAGCUUCGCCCGCCCACUAAACCCGGCACAUUCCGCUAAUCUGUUUUUAGUAAACACUAGGUAUCGAUUCCUGUUCUCUACCGUAAGCGAUGAUCACAGGAAGGUGAGGUUCUCCUCGUUACCUCGGAUGCCGGGAAUUCCCAUGUCGUCUCCGGAGUAACUAGGUCUCGAUGAUCUCCUCGAAGCUUGUAACUUUCACCUCCAUAACGCGCAGACGUAAUCGAAGAAGGGAGAUAGAACACUAACCCAUUAAAAACGCUCCAUCACCCGCUAUACAUUCUCCAAGAACGCCUAACCGAUCAAUGGCAUAGAGACACUAAGAUUCCAUACUAAGAACGGUAUGCAAGAAGUCGGGAACGGGUAAGCAGCUGCUCGUGAACAUGAAAACGCUUGAAGACCUGCAAAAAAGCACUAGUGCGCCAACUCUACCAUGACCAACCAAGUGGAGGUCACAGCACUGGGAUGAUUGUCGCACCGGAAGGAGCCACCGACGAUACACAAGGACCCGCAGACUAUACGAAGUCUUCAUGAUCAUCGCCAACCGCCGCCUUAGAGAACCUAAAGCGAUUAGCCUAUCACUGUCAAGAUUGCGCCUGGUGACAACAAGGCAAUCAAACGAAGAACACCACAAGCUGAGACCAACGAAACCAGUCGACAAAGUUCCAGAGGUCAAACAUGAACACGAGCGAGGAAGAGAGAGGCGGAAAGGGAGGGAGGUCGCAACAACGCCUCGGAACGGCCAUAGACGACCGGAACCGACACCGCGCCACCAGAACUACUACCCCCUUAGUGUACUGCUUUAGAAAUUUAAAGAAAUAAUAUAAGGGUUAUGUACAAGUUUUAUUUUAUUUAUUUUGGAAAAUUUGCCAAAAUAGAACAAAAAACACACUCUUUGUCUCCUUAGUAUAAAACCAACCUAAAUUAGUUCAUUUGGUAUAUAUUUGCUAAAAACCCCAUUCUAACCCUUACUAUAUCAAUUAACAAUUUAAAAAUUCACUUUUAAAUAUCAAUUAAAAACAAAAACGAAUUUUGACAAAAAGAAAACAAAAAAUAAAUAAAUCAAAAUAUAAUUAAAACAAAAUCUAAGUGGAAACAAAAAAAGGAAGAAACAAAAUCCCCAAAUCACUAUAAUAUAUGAAUUUUGGUUUUUUGUUAUAAUUAUAAAAUUUUCCUUCAUUGUUUAAAUUUUCUACAAUUUGAUUUAAUAUAUAUUAACCAAAAUAAAUAAAUGAAAAUAUAUCUUAAUUAUAAUUUUAAAUAUAUGAAUAUAUAUUCUUAAUUAUAAAUUAAAGUAAAUCAAAUUGUUUUUUUUUGUUUUUUUUUUCUAAAAAUCAUUUUUUGAAGAUAAAAAAAAAUGAAAAUCGUUUAUUUUUAUUUUUUUGACAAGAAUAUCAUUGAAUACUUUUUAGGAAAAUAAAAAGAUUUUCAAAUAUUUUUCAAAUAUUUUAUAAAUGAACUUGUCAUAUUUUUGGAAAUAUGGUUAUUCUUAUAACUUUUACACCUCGUAGAAAACAUACAACUAAAUCAUAAGCAAAUUUUAGCAUAUGUAACCUUUUGAUUUGUGUCUAAAUUUCAUAUUCGUAAAACUUUAGAAUUGCUCAUACAAAUAGAAGUUACAUUCAAAAUAAUUGUAACUACAUUUAUAAUGUGUAGAUAUUGCAUUCUUCGUAUUUAGAAUUCUAUUUAACAAUGGACUAUUGGUUCUAGAAAAUGUAGAAUAACAUUUUUAACGUGUAAUUCAAUUUCUACCAUGCCAUUUUUCUUAGAACAAAAUUAAAAAUGUUAUUUAAAAAAAAUUCAAUCUAAAAAAAUAUAUGGGUAUUUCAUCAAUAGUUUCUAUUUUUUAUAAGUUUUUAUAAUUUUUAUAAUUUUAAAACUAUUUAUUUUAUUAAGUUUAAAAAAUAGAAAAAGUGAUUAUGUAAAAAAAUGGACAAAUUUUUUAAUACUAAAGGGUCAAAACGGUGUUUUUUCAUUCUAUUUCGGCAAGUUUUCUUUUGUUUUUUCCUUUUCCUGUAGCGGUAAACAAACCAAAUAAAAACUAUUUGUAAUGUUUACAUAAAUCUCAAAUCUAAAUAGAAUAAAUUUUGUUUAUUACAUUAUUUUAUCUUUUACUAUUACAAACCUGCAAUGUGUAAAAAAAAAAAAACUAGCAAAUCUCCCUUGGUCCCUAUUUAUAAUAUUUUAAUUUUAUUUUCCGUACAAACAACGUAUCCGUGGUUGAACAACCUACAAUUUAGAUCCGCUGUUUCGCACUCCAUUGGAAGCGCUCUCAUUUGAACCAAUCGCAUGGAGAACCUCUCUUAAAAGAGUCUCUCUCAUCCUACCGUACACGUGUCCAUCAGCUCCCCGUCGAACUAUCUCCUCUCCCAACUUUACGGCGGCUUCAACCGUCUCCGCCGCACUACCAUGCCUGGAAUCCACGAUUCCCAUCUCCAAACCCCGAUCCGCCGUAAUUUUCUCCGCCGUCAACGCCACGUCUCUUCUCGCCGCCGGAGAAGCAACCUUCAUCCGGAUCAUAGCCACAAACCACGCAGGAAGCACGAGCUCGAUAUCCAGCUCACUCAUAUACAGAAACCCUCUGUCGCGACGCAUCAGUAUAUAGUCGUGACUCAUCGCGAGGAGGAAUCCCGCGGCGGAGGCGUGGCCGGUUACGGCGGCGAUCGUCGGCAUAGGGAGAGAGAUGAGAUCGGCGACCAAGGAUCGGAGUUUGGCGGCCAUGAGAGCGCGGAGAGGAGGAUCCGAUGCGGCUAAGGCGAGAUCGUAGCCGUUGGAGAAGAAUUUUCCAUCGGAGGUUGUGAUGAGGACCGAUUGUGAAGACGAUGGGUCGGAACGGAUUUGUGUGAUGGCGGAGCGGAGGUUGUCGAGUAAGGUAGGGUUGAGACGGUGUUCGCCGUCGCCGGUGAGCUUCAGUAAGAAAAGUCGACCACGCUUCUCCAAUGUACACAUCUCUCUGUCUGUGACAGUGACGAUAGUACUUAGUGGCAGAUUAGCAAUUAUGCGUAUUAGAUUAAU